CGACCAAGCGUACGGUGGAUGCCCCGGGCAGUCAGAGGCGAUGAAGGACGUGCGCACCUUGCGAUAAGCGUCGGUAGCGCGAUGAACCGUUGGUAGCCGGCGAUUUCCGAAUGGGGAAACCCAGUGUGCUUCCGACACACUUAUCGUUAAGUGAAUACAUAGCUAAUUGAAGGAACCGGGGAACUGAAGAAAACAUCUAAAAUCUCUGAGGAAAAGAAAUCAACCGAGAUUCCCCAGUAGCGGCGAGCGAACGGGGAGCAGCCCAGAGUCUGAAAUCAGCAUGUGUAGAGUGGAACGGUCUGGAAAGUCCGACGGUACAGGGCAUAGUCCCGCACAAAUCGUAUGUGCCAGAACUCGAAGAGUAGGGCGGGACAAUGUGGUGUUCCGGUCUGAAUAUGGGGGACCAUCCUCCAAGGCUAAAUACUCCUGACUGACCGAUAGUGAACCAGUACCGUGAGGGAAAGGCGUGAAAAGAACCCCGGCGAGGAGUGAAAAAGAACCCGAAACCGUGUACGUACAAGCAGUGGGAGUUUGAUUUAUCAGGGUGACUGGGUACUUGAAUACAGCAUAAUGGUCGCCGACUUCAUUCUGUAGCAAGGUUAACUGCAUAGGGAGCCUUAUGUCCGAGUCUUAACUGGGCGUUAAGUUGCAGGGUAUAGACCCGAAACCCGCGAUUCAGCCAUGGGCAGGUUGAAGGUUGGGUAACACUAACUGGAGGACUCGAACUGACUAAUGCUGAAAAAUUAGCGAUGACUUGUGGCUGGGGGUGAAAGGCCAUCAAACCGAGAUAGCUUAUUCCCGAAAGCUAUUUAGGUAGCGCUCAGAACUCAUCUUCGGGGUAGAGCACUGUUUCGGCUAGGGGGUCAUCCCGACUUACCAACCGAUGCAAACUACGAAUACCGAAGAAUGUUAAUACGGGAGACACACGGCGGGUGCUAACGUCCGUCGAAGAGGGAAACAACCCAGACCGCCAGCUUGCUAGUCCCAAAGUCACAGUUAAGUGGAAACGAUGUGGGAAGGCACAGACAGCCAGAUGUUGGCUUAGAAGCAGCCAAUACGCAAACGAAAGCGCAACAGCUCACUGGUCGAGUCGGCCCUGCGCGGAAGAUGUAACGGGGCUAAACUGUGCACCGAAGCUGCGGCAGCGACACUAUGUUGUUGGGUAGGAGCGUUCUGUAAGCCGUUGAAGGUGGUCAGAGGGUUGCUGGAGGUACUUGAAGUGCGAAUGCCAUUACAAAGUAACGAUAAUGAGUGGGUGAAAAACCCGCACGCCGAAGACCAAGGGUUCCUGUCCAACGUUAAUCGGGGCAGGGUGAGUCGACCCCUGGGCGAGGCCGAAAGGCGUAGUCGAUGGGAAACAGGUUAAUAUUCCUGUACUUGGUGUUACCGCGAAGGGACGGAGAAGGUUGCGUUAGCCGGGCGACGGUUGUCCCGGUUUAAGCAUGGUAGCGGGAAGUUUAGGUAAAUCCUGACUUCUGUAUAACGCUGAGGUGUGAUGACGAGGCACUACGGUGCUGAAGUAACAAAUGCCCUGCUUCCGUGAAAGCUCACAUCAGGUAACACGAAAUCGUACCCCAAACCCGACACAUGUGGUCAGGGGUAGAGAAUACCAAGGCGCUUUGAGAGAACUGGGUGAAGGAACUAGGCAAAAUGGUGCCGUAAUCUUCGGGAGAAGGCACGCUGAUAUGUAGGUGAAGCGGAUUUACUCAUGGAGCUGAAAUCAGUCGAAGAUACCACAGCUGGCCGCAACUGUUUAUUAAACACAGCACUGUGCAAACACGAAAGUGGACGCAUACGGUGUGACGCCUGCCCGGUGCCGGAAGGUUAAUUGAUGGGUUAUCCGUAAGGAGUAGCUCUGAUCGAAGCCCCGGUAAACGGCGGCCGUAACUAUAACGGUCCUAAGGUAGCGAAAUUCUUUGUCGGGUAAGUUCCGACCUGCACGAAUGGCGUAAUGAUGGCCGCUGUUCCACCCGAGACUCAGUGAAAUUGAACUCGCUGUGAAGAUGCAGUGUAACCCGCGGCAAGACGGAAAGACCCCGUGAACCUUUACUAUAGCUUCUGACACUGAACACUGGUCCUUGAUGUGUAGGAUAGUGGGAGGCUUUGAAGUGUGGACGCCAGUCUGCAUGGAGCCAACCUUGAAAUACCACCCUUUAAUGGCUGGUGUUCUAACGUAGACCCGUGAUCCGGGUUGUGGACAGUGUCUGGUGGGUAGUUUGAUUAGCGGUCUCCUCCUAAAGAGUAACGGAGAGCACGAAGGCUAGCUAAUCAGGUCGGACAUCAGGAGGUUAGUGCAAAGGCACAAGCUAGCUUGACUGCGAGAGUGACGGCUCGAGCAGGUGCGAAAGCAGGUCUUAGUGAUCCGGUGGUUCUAAUGGAAGGGCCAUCGCUCAACGGAUAAAAGGUAAUUCGGGGAUAACAGGCUGAUACCGCCCAAGAGUUCAUAUCGACGGCGGUGUUUGGCACUAUUGUGUCGGCUCAUCACAUCCUCGUGGGCUGAAGUGAGGUCCCAAGGGUAUGGCUGUUCGCCAUUUAAAGUGGUACGCGAGCUGGGUUUAGAACGUCGUGAGACAGUUCGGUCCCCAUUCGCCGUGGGCGCUGCGAAUUGAGGGGGCUGCUCCAGUAAUGAGAGGACCGGAGUGGACGCAUCACUGGUGAAGUUCGGGUUGUCGAAGUGCCAAUGGCAUUGCCCAGAAGCAAAUGCGGAAGAGAUAAGUGCUGAAAGCAUCUAAGCACGAAACUUGCCCUGAGAUGAGUUCUCCUGACUUGAGAGUCCUGAAGGAACGUUGAAGACGACGACGUUGAUAGGUCGGGUGUGUAAGUGUAUGAUACAUUGAGCUAACCGAUACACGAACCGUGAGGUUAACCUUACAACGCCAAAGGUGUUUUG
rnacentral:rRNA from 1 species